AACAUAAAUCACCUGAUAAUGGUAUUUCUGGAUAAGGAAAAAAGAUAAUUAAAAGUAAAAGAGGAAAAGGAGAAAAAUAACAAAAACAAACACUGUAGUGAUUCGGCAGAUGCAACCGCCGCGCGGCAGCGGAAGCGCCGAGCCGACUAGGGGCGACGGCGGCGGGCUCGCUAGAUACCGGUCAGCUCCGGCGACUUGGUUGGAAGCGUUGCUCGAGUCGGACGAGGAGCAGGUCUUGCCUGACGUCGUAUUGGAUAUACCUAAACCGCCUCCGCCCCCCAAUGCCUCCUCCACCGCUGAAGUCGAUCUCCAGCUGCUGGAGUCCGCCGGAGGCGGCAGCUUUAGCAAUUUCCUGAGGAUGAACAGCUCGCCGGCGGAGUUUUUGUCUCUGCUUAAUAGCUCGGAAGGGCUGUUUUCGAAUUUAGGGAUUCCGGCGGAUUACGAGCUCUUGCCGGCGAAUCAAGGUAAGCGCGCACGCGAGGCGGAGGAUUUGGAUGGGAUUUCGCCGAAAAAGUCGCCGUCUUCGUCUUCUUCUACUCAAGUGAAACGAGAGAAGCGUGGGCAACUGCAAGGCUCGGGAGGGUCAUUUGAUCUUGAUAUGGAGAAUAUUUUGGAGGACUCAGUAAUGUGUAGGGUACGAGCAAAACGUGGCUGUGCUACUCAUCCUCGCAGCAUUGCUGAAAGGGAGAGAAGAACGCGGAUCAGUGACAGGAUAAGGAAGCUGCAAGAACUUGUCCCUAAUAUGGAUAAGCAAACAAACACCGCAGACAUGUUAGAAGAAGCUGUAGCUUAUGUCAAGCAUCUGCAGAAAGAAAUCCAGGUUGUUUAUUUUCCCAUUAUACAGUUUAGGGUUGAUGAACUAUAUUGCCAACAAUUCAGGAUUUGUCUUCAUUCCUACUUGAUUUAGUUGUUUUAUAUCAAUGUGUGCCACUACCUUGGAUUGUGUCCUAUUCCCUUGAGAUAACGAAUUAUGAGAAAUUGCUCCAUUCGUUCAUGAUGAGUGUGGUACCGAGGGGAGAGCAUGGAUUUUAAGAAAAAUAUUAGAUGUGUUUUGAGCAGAGAUGGGUCCACAAGGGGGGGUAUUGGGUGUUGGAUUAAAAUUGGUUUAAAGGUUUAUGGGCCCACUUAAAAGUAAAACCUGCUUCCUCUGUUGCAUGGUUUUAGUCGAAUCAGUUGCAUGGUUGUUUUACUUGAAUCUCAUUUGUGAGGUGAGUGCUAAGUGCAAGCAAUUUUAGCUCGUUAAUGUUUCACCUAUGCUGGAGUAUCUGUACUUCCGUCUUCUCUUGGGUGCUGCAAUGCUUCAGGCUGUGGACUGGCCAGUACUUUUUAAGCAUCACUUCAACUAAUAAAACUCUACUCUGCUCAACAAUUAUUGUAAGCACCUGCUGGGCAUGCUUGCUGUUUAGAAGUUGAUUCCUUCGUCAGUUAUCUUGCGUCGUGUUCCUUGGUUUUAGUUCAUCCAUUUCAGAAAACAACUCCGUCUUUUGCAGGAUCUAACGGAGCAUCAAAAGAAAUGCACAUGCUCAACAAACGAUUGAACAAUUGGAUUGGAUAUUGUAGAGUAAAGAUACAAUGUUAUGAUUUUUGCUCGUUGCUCGAUGACAGUUUCCACCUCCCACUAUGUUUGUUGAGCUGUAAGAUAUUGUAAAAAAGGUAGUAGAAGUCUGUUGUGCAAAACCAGUAGCCGGCAUCUCUCGUGAAUAAUCACUACUGCCGUAGUUAGGGAAUCUGUACAUGACAAGGCCAUAUCUAAGCUAGUCUAUUAUUUGUAUUUGUAAUACUUCCUGCUUUGUAUGUAAACAUAUGUCAUCUAGAUGGUAUGCAGAUGGCUUAAGGUCAGCAGAAGAGCCGGUUUAAGGCUCUUUGUUGCCACCGGGGAGAGUAACACCUCUCCCCGACUCCCCGUACCUCCUUAAUAAGUGGAGGCGAGUUGCAUCGUUUUCCGCUGUGUCAGUAGAAAUUUCAUCUUCAUUAUCGUCACAUUUUCUCAUUCA